GAACGGGGUCAACCCCUCCCCCAGCGGGCACGGAGGCACCGCCACCCACCGCCCGCCCGGGGCUCGGGGCCGCUCGCAGACAAAGGGCCCCGGGGAGGGGAUGCGGGGAGGAGGAGGCGGCCCCGCAGCGACUCGCCCUGCCCGCCGCGCUCACCCAUGCUGCGCCCGCCCGCCCGAGCUCGGCGGAGCGGCUCCGGGUCCCGCCGAGGCGCUCAAGCCGGGCACGGCGGCUCCAUCCGCGCCGCUCCGGGCGUCAGGGGCGCUCCGAGCCGCCGGCGGCCCGGGAGGUGAGGGGGAGGCGGCCGCGCAGCCGUCCCGUCAGUCCGCCGCUCCGAGCGCCGUUCCGACAGCACCGCCCGCGACGGGGCCGCCGCCGCCAAAUCCCGCGAGAGCCGGGCGCCGCCGCCCCCACGCCGCGUGCCGUUGCCAGGCGGGAUGACGUCACAGCCAUUUCCCCGUCCCCCCUCGCGCUGCGGUGCGGGGUCCCCGAGUGGCGGCGGCGGAGCGGUCGGGCGGAGCGCGGAGGGCCGCCCGGCGCUGCCCGCUGCUAAGGCAGAUCGCACGGGAGAGGUGUUUUUUUCCCCACUUCCUCCAAGGAACAACACACUGCAAAAGGAUAAAGGCUGAUCCAGUAUAGCAACCUUUCUGAGACCUGCCUUAAGGCUAAGAUGAACAUUCAGGAGCUUUGGACCCGCCCUGAUGCUCACACUGACAUCAGGCCAGCCAUGCCCUUCUCUUUGGUCUACAGCUCAGUGGAGAGCAAAGCAGUGAUUCUCAGCCUGCACACCAGUCUUUGCAGAAAUGGAAGCCUGCUCAUGUAUGAGCUGCAGCAUCCUCAGGGCCUGUCCUUAGUGCUGCUGGAGGAGUGAGCAGAAGGAAAUGACAUCUGUGCCAGAUGGAGAAACCUGAACGUGGAGGCUUCAGAACUUCCCCCCAGAGGACAAGGAAUUAAAGGAACUUCGUCUUGUGAACCAAAGUCACGUGUCGGCUGUUAUCAGCUACUUCUUGCCUUCUUGCACAGCCAUAUCUGUCAAUACCACAUGGAAGCACACAGCCCGUAGUGUUGAGGAGCUUUGCCUGCAAAAUUCCUGCUUUUGUUUUGAGACUGCUCCUAUGAGCAGAUACUCCCUUCAAUGGCACCUUAAUGGUUACACAGGGCACUGAGGAAGGCUCAAACCUUCAUAACUACAGUACAGCUCCCUCCAUCCAGGUACACUGGGCGUUUGGCAUUCAUACGAAGUUUCUUUGGCAGGCACUGCUUACCAUUUCCUCAUAUUAACAUCUAUCACAAAGAAAUCUCAUCUUCGGGCUCCAGCAGCCUAAUGGCUUCCUUCAGCAUCUGAAUACAUCAACAGCUGUGGCUUCAGCCAUUUUGUCUGACCAAACUGAGAGCGGCCCAAAACCUGCUUCUGCACCAGGAGGGGAUAAAGGAGCCUCUUCUUCUGCAGAGAAGGCUUCCCACAAAACAUACAGAAUUGCAAACAUAAUUCUUCCUUCUCUCCACAGUCCUGAUCGCAGCAAUCUGAAGGCAGAAUGUUUACUCAAAAGGGAGUAUGUCUUUAAACAUCACAAGGCGUGCUUACAGCACUGUGCUGCACAGACAUUGUGUAUCAGAGUACGUGUCUGUGCCACAGAUGAGGCGAUGAUGUCAGCUGAAAAUGCCCUUGUGCCCAGCUGGCAGCAGUGCUGGUGUGCAGCCCUGCUGUGCUGUCACUGUGCUGCUGAGAGCUGCUGCUGCUGGGAAGGGCCAUUCUGUGACACUGCACUUCUGUCUCCUGCUUUCAUGCUAUUUCAGUGCUCUCUGUCUUUGCUCAUGCUGUUCAGCGUGCAGACCUAGCAGAAAGCCUUGAAGGCAGUAAAUUGUCAGAGCAGUCUGGACUUGCAAUGAGCUAUUUUAUGACCAAGUACAGAAAUUCUUCACUUCUUAUUUCAUUCAAAAGUUGUGUGAUUUGAGCAUGAUUGUCCUGGGCUUUUUGUUUCUUUCUUUGUUUUUUUUCCCCCCUCUUUUAAUGCAAGUGAGGAAAAGCCUCACCCUGCAGGCAUGAAAACAGCAUUCUCCAUAGUGAGGACUCUUAGGAGCCUUUUGGAGAAAGGGGUCUGGAGUUAUCUGUGUGUUUACAUCUUCUGCAUUGAUUUCUCUAAGCUGACAGUGCAGUGGGCAGUGCAUCAAUAUGCAGUCUGUGGUGAGAGAGACCAAGGCAUUGCAGGGCAUGCACACUUGUCUGUUGCCUCAUGCCAGAGCUCAGUGCCAUGCCUCUUCUCAGCAUCAAACAUAGGAUCAUCACUGACAUCAGUGACAGCGCAGCCUUUUUGUGAGCGCUGUGCAGCCUCUGCAGUUUAUAAAUAGCAUUCCCAAGGGACAGCUGCAGAAUGACCCAGAUUGACCAAAAUACACCGUGUUUAGAAAAUUCCAUGCUAAAACAGCCCUUCCCCUGACGGGUACACAUCCUUGACUCUAUUUCUGCUCCAACGCUCAUCGGCAUUUCAGCCAGGAGGAAAAGCAGCUCCUCUUGGGCUGUCACGACAGUGAGGUGACAGAGGCAAAGAAAAGAAGUUUGGCUUUCUGUGUUGUCAAGUAAAAGGUUCUCCAGUUUGCAUUUCAGUCGGGACCGUGGACUGAGAUUUUGUCUCCUUUCCCAAAUAAAAUGCGAAUAACCGCAGCUUUGAUGUAUGCAAUCACAGAAAAAUAUCA
rnacentral:lncRNA from 1 species